rnacentral:snRNA from 1 species
AAUUGUGUUGAAUGAAUUCAACA